rnacentral:rRNA from 1 species
UACGUAGGGUGCGAGCGUUAGUCGGAAUUACUGGGCGUAAAGUGUGCGCAGGCGGCAGAGCAAGUCGAGUGUGAAAGCCCCGGGCUUAACCCGGAAAGGUCAACUGAUACUGUGCGACUAGAGUGCGGAAGGGGCAACUGGAAUUCUCGGUGUAGCGGUGAAAUGCGUAGAUAUCAGGAAGAACACCCGUGGCGAAGGCGGCUCUCUGGGACGGUACUGACGCUGAGACGCGAAAGCGUGGGGAGCGAACAGG